rnacentral:rRNA from 1 species
GAUGAACGCUAGCGGCAGGCUUAAUACAUGCAAGUCGAACGAAGUGGUAACACUUAGUGGCGCACGGGUGCGUAACACGUAUGCAACCUAUCUAUCGUUGGGGGAUAACUUUGAGAAAUCAGGGCUAAUACCGCAUAAAACAGCGUUACUGCAUGGUAAUGCUGUUAAAGUUACGGCGACGAUAGAUGGGCAUGCGUCCGAUUAGGUAGUUGGCGAGGUAACGGCUCACCAAGCCGACGAUCGGUAGGGGAUCUGAGAGGAUAAUCCCCCACACUGGCACUGAGAUACGGGCCAGACUCCUACGGGAGGCAGCAGUAGGGAAUAUUGGGCAAUGGUCGCAAGACUGACCCAGCCAUGCCGCGUGCAGGAAGAAGGCGCUCAGCGUUGUAAACUGCUUUUAUCAAGGAAGAAAAGUUCUUGCGAGAACAAUUGACGGUACUUGAAGAAUAAGCCACGGCUAACUACGUGCCAGCAGCCGCGGUAAGGCACG